CUUGCCCCCACUCUCUCCUCCUCAAUAGGACUGACAGAUUGACUGAUCACCUGACAUGCUGACGUGUACGGCCAAGAGCACAAUCCUCCUCCUCCCCUUGCUCCUCCGGUCUUCCACGUGCACGGUUCCUGGUUCCUCCUCCGUCAGGACCGCAUCGGCUCCUCGGUUCGGUAUUCGGAUUCCUCACACCACCAUCAGUGUCUAGACUCCAUCGGGGGAUCAGCUUCUGGCUUUCUAAUCCCUUAAAUAUUUAUGUCAUUUCAUAAUGAUGGAGUCUAAUCUCCAAAGACUGUACAUGUCAUAUCAUGCAUUUGUACAAUAAAGCUUUGCAUAUCUGCAACAAAGUCUCCCCUGA